AUGUGCGGGAGCCCCGGAGCGGUGCCGGGAGCGGUGCCGGGAGCGGUGCGAGGGGCGGUGCCGGGGAAGAACCCGGAGCGGGGCGGGAGCAGCGGCUGGGGGAGCCCCUCGAGCAGUGCGGGGAGGAGCAGCCGCACCCCGCGGACCGCGGCCGGCAGGAAGCAGCUCACGGACCGGGAGGGAAGUGCAUCGCCCGCGGCCGCAGGAGAACCCCGGACCGCGCAGAGGCCCCGCUCCCUCCAGCCCGCCGCGCAGAGCGAAAGCGGAAAACAAAGCGGCGCGGCCCGGUCCCUUCCCGGGCCCGGGCNNNNNNNNNNUAUUAUUUUGUGCAAGAGAGAAUUAAUACAUGCCUUGACUGUUAAGAGCAAUGAAUUGUUAGAUUAUGCCUGCUCUACAUCCCACGCAAGUGAAGUAAGAAGAAGAAAAGCCGUGAGGCACAGUCCGUUAUCAGGUCCAGAACCCGAACUUCCCGGCGCGGACGCCACCACAGCUCGACCCGCACUCCCGCCGUCGCCGGGGGUCCGAGGGCGAGGAAUUCCCGCGGACGCGGAGCCGGGAGCGCCCGCCGCCACCCCCGCGCCCGGCCGAAGGACCGCGGGCUGCCCCGGCCUCCCUCCCGCCCUCCCUCAGACACGCCCGCGCCCCGACAGGCCCCGACCCGGCCCGCAGGGGGCCGCACUCACCGCGGCCCGGCGCAGCAGGCGCGGAAGCCUGUCGGCGGCCCGGCGUCCUCCCGCGAGCCCGGCCGGCGGCGCCCCCCGUCAACGAGGCUCCCCAGCCCCCGCCCAGGCGGGGCCCGCGCUGACGCACGCUAACGUCACUGCCGCGACAGGGCGCCGCGGGCCGCGUCAGAGCGCAGCGCCACGGCCUCCUCCUGCGGGCGGGGCCGCCCAGGGGCGGGCGCUGUGGCGGGCCCUGCGGCUUCCUUUCUCCCUCCGCGCCUGUCGCCCUCCGGAGGCGCGGGGCACGCGCCGGACUCGGAGUCCUGCGGCCCGGAAGCCGGCGGAAACGCCCCGCCGCGCGGAGUCCCCCCGGGGCGGCACUGGCGUCGGCGUCCGCGCCUGCGCCGUGGCGCCUGCACGCGAAGGUCGCGCGGCCUGCGCGCCCUCUGGCCCUGGGGGCGGGGCCGGGAGAGCCCCUGGACGCUCGUCAAAGAGGGGUUACGGACUGGACUGCGUAGUCGCCUGCGAAUCCUGUGUCCUGUACGGUCGGUCGUGCAGUGUGUCACUAUCUUCAUAA
rnacentral:lncRNA from 12 species